AAAAUCCUCCCAACUCCUAGAACUGUUUGUUUUCGUCCCACAAACCCUAACAAGGAAAUGUGCCUCUUGGUUAUUUUUUUUGGGAGUAUGCUUGAACUUCACCCCCUCCAACAGGGUCUUUGUCUUCCACAUUACAUGACAAAUCAUCCCCAGUCUGUUUCUCGGGAUGUCUUCUUCAAUUCCACACAUCACGUUGAUGAUCUCAAAGUUGUCAGAUUAAAAAAUAACUCUUUUUAUCCCCUUCUUCACUUUGUUCUUCAUAGCCCAAUGCAUGGCCGCAACUUCUGUCGUCGCUGGAUCAUUGUCAUUGUAAGCUCUAUCAGUGUUAAAGCUAACCAUCAGCGUUGCGACUUUGUAGGUGUGGUUACUUUUCUCCUUAUUGUUGAUGACCCACUUUCUGUUAUUUCCAUAUAUAUAUAUAUAUAUAUAUAUAUGUGUCUUCAAGCUUCAGAUUCAGAUUGUUCAGGUUAUUUUUUCCUUUUUCCUUUCUCCCCUUUUGAUUGUUAUUGUUGUUUAUGUCUCUCAUCUACUCUUGAUCAAUUUUUCUUAUAUUUCCAAACUGGGCGUGACUCUUCUCCUUAGUUGUUCCUCUCUCAGGCCUCCUUUGAAUAUGUAUGUCAGCUUCUACCUGGCAAUUCUCCUGCUUCAUCAACUUUAAUAUGUUCUCUUCCAGCUUAGUGUCUUUGGGUUUGGAGGUACUCUAAAUGUGCUUGUUUCUAAUCAUGACAUAGUUGUUAUUCCAGAUUGUCUCAUGCUGCUUGUCUUUAUCUUGAACCUUCUUCUUAUUCCCCGUCCUUUUUCCCUUGUUGCUAUGAUAGUCAAGACUAGUCAACAACCUGACAUCUCCUGCUACAAUCCUAUCCUUGGUGAUCUUCUCCUUCUUCAGGUGUUGCAUCUUGUCCUUGUGUUGAUUAGACAAAUUCUUGUUAAUCUCAGUGUUGUUAGUAGGAUUAUUAUUCCUUUGUAUUUGAAUAUUCACAUCCGUUUUUUUAUCCUUUUUAUCCUUCA